UUCCGGUUGAUCCUGCCAGGGGUUACUGCUAUCGGUGUUCGACUAAGCCAUGCUAGUUAAAUGUUCUUCGUGAACAUAGCAGACUGCUCAGUAACACGUGGACAAUCUGCCCUUGGGUUCAGCAUAACCCCGGGAAACUGGGGAUAAUUCUGAAUAGAUCACAUAUGCUGGAAUGCCUUGUGAUUUAAAGAUCCUUCGCCCAAGGAUGGGUCUGCGGCCUAUCAGGUUGUAGUGGGUCUAGAGUACCUACUAGCCAACGACGGGUACGGGUUGUGAGAGCAAGAGCCCGGAGAUGGAUUCUGAGACAAAAAUCCAGGCCCUACGGGGCGCAGCAGGCGCGAAACCUUUACACUGCGGGAAACCGCGAUAAGGGGACACCGAGUGCCAGCAUACAAUGCUGGCUGUCCACAUGUGUAAAUAGCAUGUGAUAGCAAGGGCCGGGCAAGACCGGUGCCAGCCGCCGCGGUAACACCGGCGGCCCGAGUGGUAAUCACUAUUAUUGGGUCUAAAGGGUCCGUAGCCGGUUUAAUCAGUCUUCCGGGAAAUCUGACAGCUCAACUGUUAGGCUCCCGGGGGAUACUGUUAGACUUGGGACCGGGAGAGGUAAGAGGUACUACAGGGGUAGGAGUGAAAUCUUGUAAUCCCUAUGGGACCACCAGUGGCGAAGGCGUCUUACCAGAACGGGUCCGACGGUGAGGGACGAAAGCUGGGGGCACGAACCGGAUUAGAUACCCGGGUAGUCCCAGCCGUAAACGAUGCUCGCUAGGUGUCUGGAAUGGUGCGACCGUUUCAGGUGCCGCAGGGAAGCCGUGAAGCGAGCCACCUGGGAAGUACGGCCGCAAGGCUGAAACUUAAAGGAAUUGGCGGGGGAGCACUACAACGGGUGGAGCCUGCGGUUUAAUUGGAUUCAACGCCGGA
rnacentral:rRNA from 1 species